rnacentral:rRNA from 1 species
GGGCCCGCACAAGCGGUGGAGCAUGUGGUUUAAUUCGAUGAUACGCGAGGAACCUUACCAGGGCUUAAAUGCAGUCUGACAGGUCUGGAAACAGACUUUUCUUCGGACAGAUUGCAAGGUGCUGCAUGGUUGUCGUCAGCUCGUGCCGUGAGGUGUCAGGUUAAGUCCUAUAACGAGCGCAACCCCUGUGGUUAGUUGCCAGCGAGUCAUGUCGGGAACUCUAGCCAGACUGCCGGUGCAAACCGCGAGGAAGGUGGGGAUGACGUCAAAUCAUCACGGCCCUUACGUCCUGGGCCACACACGUGCUACAAUGGUAGGGACAGAGGGCAGCUACCCCGCGAGGGGAUGCGAAUCUUCAAACCCUAUCACAGUUCGGAUCGCAGUCUGCAACUCGACUGCGUGAAGCUGGAAUCGCUAGUAAUCGCAUAUC